rnacentral:rRNA from 1 species
CAGCCGCCGCGGUAAUACGUAGGGUGCGAGCGUUAAUCGGAAUUACUGGGCGUAAAGCGGGCGCAGACGGUUACUUAAGCAGGAUGUGAAAUCCCCGGGCUCAACCUGGGAACUGCGUUCUGAACUGGGUAGCUAGAGUGUGUCAGAGGGAGGUAGAAUUCCACGUGUAGCAGUGGAAUGCGUAGAGAUGUGGAGGAAUACCGAUGGCGAAGGCAGCCUCCUGGGAUAACACUGACGUUCAUGCCCGAAAGCGUGGGUAGCAAACAGGAUUAGAUACCCCGGUAGUCCCUGUCUCUUAUAC